GAAAGAUGGCUUUGGCUAUCACUCUGGGAUGGACCUGCGGUGCAUUAGCUAGUUGGUAAGGUAACGGCUUACCAAGGCGAUGAUGCAUAGCCGAGUUGAGAGACUGAUCGGCCACAAUGGAACUGAGACACGGUCCAUACUCCUACGGGAGGCAGCAGUAGGGAAUCCUCCACAAUGGGCGCAAGCCUGAUGGAGCAACACCGCGUGAGUGAAGAAGGGUUUCGGCUCGUAAAGCUCUGUUGUUGGAGAAGAACGUGCGUGAGAGUAACUGUUCACGCAGUGACGGUAUCCAACCAGAAAGUCACGGCUAACUACGUGCCAGCAGCCGCGGUAAUACGUAGGUGGCAAGCGUUAUCCGGAUUUAUUGGGCGUAAAGCGAGCGCAGGCGGUUGCUUAGGUCUGAUGUGAAAGCCUUCGGCUUAACCGAAGAAGUGCAUCGGAAACCGGGCGACUUGAGUGCAGAAGAGGACAGUGGAACUCCAUGUGUAGCGGUGGAAUGCGUAGAUAUAUGGAAGAACACCAGUGGCGAAGGCGGCUGUCUGGUCUGCAACUGACGCUGAGGCUCGAAAGCAUGGGUAGCGAACAGGAUUAGAUACCCUGGUAGUCCAUGCCGUAAACGAUGAGUGCUAGGUGUUGGAGGGUUUCCGCCCUUCA
rnacentral:rRNA from 1 species